rnacentral:rRNA from 1 species
UACAGAGGUCUCAAGCGUUGUUCGGAUUCAUUGGGCGUAAAGGGUGCGUAGGCGGCGCGGUAAGUCGGGUGUGAAAUCUUGGAGCUUAACUCCGAAACUGCAUUCGAUACUGCCGUGCUUGAGGACUGGAGAGGAGACUGGAAUUUACGGUGUAGCGGUGAAAUGCGUAGAUAUCGUAAGGAAGACCAGUGGCGAAGGCGGGGUCUCUGGACAGUUCCUGACGUGAGGCACGAAGGUCAGGGGAGCAAACGGGG